AAAAAGACAAGAUAGAUGCUUGUGAAAGACUUUGGAUGCACCUAUGAAGGUGAUUAAGAAAAGACUUUGCCGUAUAGUUUAUCAUUGAAUGACUAGCGCAAACAGCCUUCUUUAUGCUGAAAAGAAGUGCUAUGCUAAUUCUGGACAUUGCUAUUAUCCAGACAGAAGAUGACCGGAAAAAUAAAUAAAAGCUGAUAACUGUCAACACCCAGCUGUUUUUCAAGAUGGAACAUGGUACUGACAAAACCAGAUUGACUAUCAAAGCACCUCACAGUACAAGACACAGAUUGUUAACUACAACUCAGAAAAAGUGGUUAAUAGGAAGGAGCAGAAGAAGAG